CCCCUGGUGGCUCAGACGGUAAAGCGUCUGCCUGCAAUGCGGGAGACCCAGGUUCAAUUCCUGGGUCGGGAA
rnacentral:tRNA from 1 species